AAUAUUCCCGCCCUUCUCAAAAUUUAAGUGAAAUCCUUCUCAAUUCCUAUUUCUUGUGGCUUCCUCUUUAUUCUCUGGGCAGACUCCCACCUACCAUUGGCGACUUGAAAACUCCCCAUCGGUUCUUCGCCAUCUACAGGUUUUGCUAUUCACCCUUUCCCUCUCAUUUACCCCUUGUUCUUUUUUCCCUUUCGUAAUUGUUCUGGGAAGAUUCCUUUUCUCUCUCUCUUUCUAACUUCUGAUUUUAAUUUUUUUUUUUCCUGAGAAAACUGCAAUAAUGGUGAGCUUCUCAGCCCUCUGAGUUUGUACUUAACAAUCUUCGUCAAUCUGCUAGUAUCGCUCUAAAUGUCCCUGCUAGUGCCCCAACUGUUGUCGUCAUGAGCCUCUACUUCAUUGGCUUCAUCACGGCUCUUCAUGUGUUCGACAAGCUGUACCACCACCGAUCUAGUGGCAGAACUUGAGGUCUGGGUCCUGGUUCGGAUUAGGAGCUUAAUUGGUGGUUGGUGGUUCUAAUUCAUGAGGGUCCAUAACUCCGAUGUCAGCUAUUACAUCAACAGGAAAUUACAAAUUUGAAGUGUGGACAUGGGUGGGCAAUUGCAAAUUUGAAAAGAAUUUGAUUGGAGGUGUUCAAGGAAAACUAAAGUCUUCUAAGUGACAAUUUCCUUGUAAAUGGAGGCGUAUUUCAUAAUUGAUAGAUAGUUUCAUAUUUCUUAGGACAUCACAUUGGUUUUAUAGGUGAUUUUGUUGAAGUUUAGUACAAUGCUUGUAAUUCUUUUUAAACGUGUAAUGCUUGUAAUUCUUUUUAAAUUAAA